rnacentral:rRNA from 1 species
GACAGAGGGUGCAAACGUUGUUCGGAUUUACUGGGCGUAAAGCGCGUGUAGGCGGCCCGGUAAGUCCGCUGUGAAAGUCGGGGGCUCAACCCUCGAAUGCCGGUGGAUACUGUCGGGCUAGAGUGCGGAAGAGGCGAGUGGAAUUCCUGGUGUAGCGGUGAAAUGCGCAGAUAUCAGGAGGAACACCAAUUGCGAAGGCAGCUCGCUGGGACGUGACUGACGCUGAGACGCGAAAGCGUGGGGAGCAAACAGG